CCUGUAGUCAAAACUUCGUUCUCUCCUGAGUGGAUCCUGAGUACGGCGGAACACGUGAAAUUCCGUCGGAAUCCGGGAGGACCAUCUCCCAAGGCUAAAUACUCCCUAGUGACCGAUAGUGAACCAGUACCGUGAGGGAAAGGUGAAAAGCACCCCGGAAGGGGAGUGAAAGAGAUCCUGAAACCGUGUGCCUACAAGUAGUCAGAGCCCGUUAACGGGUGAUGGCGUGCCUUUUGUAGAAUGAACCGGCGAGUUACGAUCCCGUGCAAGGUUAAGCAGAAGAUGCGGAGCCGCAGCGAAAGCGAGUCUGAAUAGGGCGCAUGAGUACGUGGUCGUAGACCCGAAACCAGGUGAUCUACCCAUGUCCAGGGUGAAGUUCAGGUAACACUGAAUGGAGGCCCGAACCCACGCACGUUGAAAAGUGCGGGGAUGAGGUGUGGGUAGGGGUGAAAUGCCAAUCGAACCUGGAGAUAGCUGGUUCUCUCCGAAAUAGCUUUAGGGCUAGCCUCAAGGUAAGAGUCUUGGAGGUAGAGCACUGAUUGGACUAGGGGCCCCUACCGGGUUACCGAAUUCAGUCAAACUCCGAAUGCCAAUGACUUAUCCUUGGGAGUCAGACUGCGAGUGAUAAGAUCCGUAGUCGAAAGGGAAACAGCCCAGACCGCCAGCUAAGGUCCCAAAGUAUACGUUAAGUGGAAAAGGAUGUGGAGUUGCUUAGACAACCAGGAUGUUGGCUUAGAAGCAGCCACCAUUUAAAGAGUGCGUAAUAGCUCACUGGUCGAGUGACUCUGCGCCGAAAAUGUACCGGGGCUAAACGUAUCACCGAAGCUGCGGACUGUUCUUCGAACAGUGGUAGGAGAGCGUUCUAAGGGCUGUGAAGCCAGACCGGAAGGACUGGUGGAGCGCUUAGAAGUGAGAAUGCCGGUAUGAGUAGCGAAAGAGGGGUGAGAAUCCCCUCCACCGAAUGCCUAAGGUUUCCUGAGGAAGGCUCGUCCGCUCAGGGUUAGUCGGGACCUAAGCCGAGGCCGAAAGGCGUAGGCGAUGGACAACAGGUUGAUAUUCCUGUACCACCUCCUCACCAUUUGAGCAAUGGGGGGACGCAGGAGGAUAGGG
rnacentral:rRNA from 1 species